rnacentral:lncRNA from 1 species
UGGAUAAACAUAUCAGCAAGACUAUGUAUAAGCAUGCAGCGAUAUGCAGAUGAAAUUACAACAUAAUCAGAAUUGGAUCCUUAUUUAAAAUUAUCAUGAGAUAGUGACAACUACAAAUACCAGAGAGAAGCGCCAAUUAUGCAGUGCUUCAUUUUCGAGCCACGUAUAGUGAGGGUAUUAUCAAUGGAGAAGAAGAGAGGUAUAGGUAGUUUUUGACACCCACCACUAACGAUAAGUUAAGCUCCUACUCUUUAAGAAUCACAGACGCAUAAACCACCAAAGAAGUCUGUUAACUAAAUCAAUCUCAAUAUUUUAGUAUGACAGCAUUUUGCAUAUGUUUAAUAUAGAAACGGUUGAGUAAGCAGCCAUCGCUUGUUAAUGGUGAACUAGAUUUCAGCUAUAUGCAAGUAUACAACGGAAAUUACUCUAAAAAGUAGUCUGGUUGUAGAUAGAAGAAACAUGAAACACAUUUAUUAUCUCAUCAACAUAUGAAACUGAAAUAUCUGUAAUUUAUG